GGAGGAGCUCAGCCUGUUUCCCCACUUGUCUGUGACAGCACGUGCAGUCCAGGAACAGGAAGGAACAAGUGGCAGGAUAGCAACAGGGACUUGUGAGUUAUGUAAAAAGAACUGCAUUCUCCUGGGAUGGUACUUGGUGUGAUGCUGCAGGUAGUGUUGAAGAAAUCUUCAUUCAAAGGGUAAAAUGUUACACAUUGGAGCAGAGGAGUCAAUCAAUUCUGCAACUUCUCCGAAGCAUUACAUCUCCCAGUACUGCAAUUAGUGUCUCUUGUAACCUGCUGG
ensembl:lncRNA